CCUCCCUCUCUCCCUCGUUUUCUUCAUUCGAGCACUCCUCUUCCAUCCUUCUCAUACAGACACGCAGGAUGGCAGUAGCGAUGGUGGUUCGUCGUCGCUCUCAUAGCGCCUUCGCGAGUCCCAGCUACGGCGUCGUCAAGCUCUUCUCCCGCUUCUUCUUCUUCGCGUUGCGUCUUCGUCUUCCCAAGCCGCCUAUUCCAGCUUCGCUUUCCAGUUUUGUUGUCGUUUCAGCUUCCGCUACGUCACCAAACGGCACCGUUUUGAAAAGGAAGAGGCCUGCUAGGCUUGAUAUACCUGUUAGCUCCUUGGCCUUUGGCAUUCUGCCAACACCCUCUGCUGCGGCACCGCGUGAUGUUGUGGAGGAAGAACGUGAUGCCUUCUCUAUUUAUUGCAAGAAAGGCAGGAGGGAGCACAUGAAAGAUCGCUACUCUACUGCGAUAACCUACGCGGACAACAAAAACUGGCAUUUUUUGGAAUUUUCGAUGGGCAAGGUGGUGCAAAGGCUGCCAAAUUUGUGCAAAUAACUUAGAAAAGAAUGUGUUAGAUGAAGUGAUUCUUAGUGAAGAAGAUAGCAUUGAGGAGGCUGUGAAGCGCGGUUAUGUCAAGACUGAUUAUGCUUUCUUGAAAAGUGAUCUGAUUAUUUGUUUUUGAAUUUGAUUUUUUGUUUUGAUUUUCGUGGUUCUUCAUUUUUUUCUGAUUUUUCUAUUCUAAACUGUUUUUUGUUCUAUUAUGAUAUUUGGAUUUAGGUUUUUUCUCUCUUUAAACUUCUGAAUAUUUGGUUUUGUUCUGCUGCAGCUGUGGUAGUGCUCCACUGCUGCUAGGUGGUGCUGAACUGCUAUUGCUUUGCCUGUCCUGUGGUGGUGCUGCUCCUCCUAUUCUUCUCCUGCUCUUUUCUUCUCAGCACUGCUCAUCUUCUUCUCAAGCCUUCUAUAAUUUAUUGAUAUCUUCUAGGCAUGCUUUUGUAAUAAUGUAUUGACUUGUAUAUUUAACCUCUCAAACCAUAAGUUUCAAUAAUUUCAAAACAGAAGAAAAUCUUAGCUAUAUAUGUAAACUGAAAUAAAAUAAUAAGGACCAAGCGAACUAAAAAAUUACAUGUAUAUAUUCAGGUAUGAUUUGAGUUGGACUAUUGUAAUAUCUAUCAGGAUUGGCCACAAGCAUGAUUAGUUUUUAAAAUCUCUGUCCAAAUAUGGCCAGGAGAGAACUCAGGAAACUGAAGAUGAUAAGUUUCUCUAACUAUGUUCUUAUGUUGUACAUGAAACAUGUGAUAGAUGCAAAAUAAAGCUUGUAGUGAACAACUGAAGGGAAUAUCAAAUUCCUAUGGGCAUCAUCUAAAUGUCAAGCAUCAUUUCUGUACUCCCUGAUCUUUUAGUUCCUCUUAUUGGUGGUUUUUUUAAUGGAUAAAAAUGAAAUAGUUAAGCUUCUUAUCUUUUUUUCCCCUACUCUAGGAGUUUGUUUUAAACAUGUCAUAAAUGUAGAAUAAUGUAAUAUUUGCUAAGGUGAAACUUUGAGCACUUUUGACAUGACUACUUUGAUCAUUGACUUCUCAACUAUUAUGUAGAACUCUAUUCUAUUUGAAACAAACAAUUUAUUAUUUUCCUUCUUAUUCUGAUUGCUAGGAUUGUCGUAUUAGGUGAUCAGUAAGAUGCUGGAACCAGUUCAAUUUUGUGUUGGCACUUCGUCUCUAGUAGUACUAGGGCCAAGUGCACUAAUUUUAGACAUCUCAGUUAGUAGUUGAGCUAAUUUUUGUAUGUGAAGUGUCUAACAUCUUACUUAAAUCAAUGGAAUAUGUUUUUGUUAUAUUUUCUCUAAUGCAGCUGGAUAUAGAAGUCAGGGUGAAGUACAGGUCAAUAAUGCUUGGCCUAACAUACUUCAGAUGCAGCCCUUACCAUAUAACAUUAGAAAAGGAGAACUUCUGUUAUUUGAAAUCAUGAAUUCCUUCUUGUUCUGUCUUUUCCCUUAAAGAUGUAUUGUUUCAUCUUUAUUACAUUAUUCUAACAAGAAAGCACGUUCUUUUUUAUGGGUUGAGUUUUUGCAAUGGAGUUUUGAUUCUUUUGUGUUCCUAAUAAAAAAAGAUCUUAAAGUACUUGUUUCUUUCUAACUCCUUAAUUGUUUUGUGGCCAUUGUUAUUGAACAGAUUGCAAUCUGAACUAAUGGCGCUAAUGAUGAGCGGAGAUUCAGGUAUAUCUGCGUUUCUUGACGAGGACAACAUAUUCUGUUGGAAAGGGACAAUAACAGGAAGUAAAGACAUGUGUUUGAAGGAACUGAGUACAAGUUGUCACUUUCGUUUCCCAAUGAUUACCCUUUUAAGGCUCCAAAGGUCAAAUUUGAAAGCACCUGCUUCCAUCCAAACAUAGAUGUUCAUGGUAAUAUAUGCUUGGACAUUCUUCAGGUAGUAAUUAUGUGAAGAUUCCUGUCCUCUCUUAUUUGAUCAACACAAAAUAUAAAGCUUGGGUAUGACAAAAUAAUUCUGUGUCCUCAGCCAACAUCUGUGUCUUAACUAGUUUAGAUUGUGUGCAGAAGAUGUGUGUAUAAACAUAAUAUUGAAUAUAUUUUUUGUUGGAACAACAUUAACAUUUACUUUCUUGUGAAGGGUAGUUUUUGAAGCGGGAAGAUUGUUCUUAUAUUCUGGACUGGAUAGGAGAAACCCAAAGGUGAAGUAAAUGGAGCUUCUCUUUCGGGAUUCGUCAUCAAUUAGCCACAAAUUGGAUAGUUUUAGUGAUCUCCUAAGUUCUAAUGAUAAACUUAUUUUGUCCUAAUUCAAUUAUUAGUUGUUAUAGAAUUGUAAUUUUUUAAUUAUAAUUAUAGCAUGUAAAUAAUUCAUGUAAAUCAAUAAAAAAUCAAUUCUUUUAUA